rnacentral:rRNA from 1 species
AUUGAACGCUGGCGGCGUGCCUAAUACAUGCAAGUCGAACGAGGUGCCUUUGUAGCAAUACGAAGGUAUCCUAGUGGCGAACGGGUGAGUAACGCGUUGGUGACCUACCCCAAAGUGUGGGAUAACAGAUCGAAAGAUCUGCUAAUACCGCAUGUGGUCUUCGGAUUUAGAAACUGAUGACUAAAGGAGCAAUUCGCUUUGGGAGGGACCUGCGUCCCAUCAGCUAGUUGGUGAGGUAAUGGCUCACCAAGGCUACGACGGGUAGGGGACCUGAGAGGGUGGCCCCCCACAAUGGAACUGAAACACGGUCCAUACACCUACGGGUGGCAGCAGUAGGGAAUAUUGCACAAUGGGCGAAAGCCUGAUGCAGCAACGCCGCGUGUGCGAUGAAGGCCUUCGGUCGUAAAGCACUUUUCUGUAGGGAUGAGCAAGGACAGUAUCUCAGGAAUAAGUCUCGGCUAACUACGUGCCAGCAGCCGCGGUAAU